rnacentral:lncRNA from 1 species
CGUGGGACAAUUAGUAAAUCUUUCAAGCAAUUGCUCUCCAGACCCAGUGAAUGGAUCUCUGUCCGUACCAAUGUAACUGAUCAGCAGUGCUCCAGCUACAUGAAAUGGAAGUGUUAAGGUGCAGCUUGUGCCAGGACUGUGGCAUGGUUAUGGAAGAGGUUUUUGCAGCCAGAAUAUUGGUGUAA